AGAGUUUGAUCCUGGCUCAGAACGAACGCUGGCGGCAGGCUUAACACAUGCAAGUCGAACGGGGUCCAAGCAGUCGCAAGACUGUGGAAGACCGAGUGGCGAACGGGUGAGUAACGCGUGAAGAACCUGCCUUCAACAGGGGGAUAACACUCCCAACGGGGUGCUAAUACCGCAUGAGACCACAGGUCCGCAUGGACCCGAGGUCAAAGGUGGCCUCUACUUGUAAGCUACCGGUUGAAGAUGGCUUCGCGUCCCAUUAGCUAGUUGGCGGUGUAAAAGACCACCAAGGCGACGAUGGGUAGCUGGUCUGAGAGGAUGGUCAGCCACACUGGGACUGAGAUACGGCCCAGACUCCUACGGGAGGCAGCAGUCGAGAGGCUUCGGCAAUGGGGGAAACCCUGACCGAGCGACGCCGCGUGGAGGAUGAAGGCCCCUGGGUUGUAAACUCCUUUUGCUGGGGAAGAAACACGAUCAGGUGAACAAUCUGGUCGUUUGACGGUACCCGGCGAAUAAGCUCCGGCUAACUCCGUGCCAGCAGCCGCGGUAACACGGGGGGAGCAAGCGUUGUUCGGAAUCACUGGGCGUAAAGGGCGUGUAGGCGGUUCGGUAAGUGGAAUGUGAAAUCCCUCGGCUCACCCGAGGACCUGCAUCCCAAACUGCUUGGCUUGAGUAUGGGAGAGGAUGAGGGAAUUCCUGGUGUAGCGGUGAAAUGCGUAGAUAUCAGGAGGAACACCGGUGGCGAAAGCGCUCAUCUGGCCCAAUACUGACGCUGAGGCGCGAAAGCUAGGGGAGCAAACGGGAUUAGAUACCCCGGUAGUCCUAGCCGUAAACGGUGAUCACUAGGUGUUGGAGGCAUCGACCCCUCCAGUGCCGCAGCUAACGCAUUAAGUGAUCCGCCUGGGGAGUACGGCCGCAAGGUUGAAACUCAAAGGAAUUGACGGGGGCCCGCACAAGCGGUGGAGCAUGUGGUUUAAUUCGACGCAACGCGAAGAACCUUGCAUGGCUGUCGUCAGCUCGUGUCGUGAGAUGUUGGGUUAAGUCCCGCAACGAGCGCAACCCUUGUCCUUAGUUGCUAACGGGUAAAGCCGAGCACUCUAAGGAGACUGCCGGUGAUAAACCGGAGGAAGGUGGGGAUGACGUCAAGUCCUCAUGGCCCUUACGUCUGGGGCUACACACGUGCUACAAUGGCCGGUACAAAGGGUUCCGAAACCGCGAGGUUGAGGCAAUCCCAAAAAACCGGUCUCAGUUCGGAUUGCAGUCUGCAACUCGACUGCAUGAAGUCGGAAUCGCUAGUAAUCGCGGAUCAGCACGCCGCGGUGAAUACGUUCCCGGGCCUUGUACACACCGCCCGUCACAUCACGAAAGUCGGUUGCACUAGAAGUCGGUGGGCUAACCCGCAAGGGAGGCAGCCGCCUAAAGUGUGAUCGGUAAUUGGGGUGAAGUCGUA
rnacentral:rRNA from 1 species